rnacentral:rRNA from 1 species
GGUGCAUCCUGCCCAGUAG